UACGGGGGGGAGCAAGCGUUUGUUCGGAUUUACUGGGCGUAAAGGGCGCGUAGGCGGUCAGCACAAGUCAGUUGUGAAAUCUCCGGGCUUAACUCGGAAAGGUCAACUGAUACUGUGCGACUAGAGUGCAGAAGGGGCAACUGGAAUUCUCGGUGUAGCGGUGAAAUGCGUAGAUAUCGAGAGGAACACCUGCGGCGAAGGCGGGUUGCUGGGCUGACACUGACGCUGAUGCGCGAAAGCCAGGGGAGCGAACGGG
rnacentral:rRNA from 1 species